rnacentral:piRNA from 1 species
UGAUCCUUGAAUCUGCUGAAAGAGGU